UCUGGUACAAGAAUCUUCCAGUGAGUGAUCAUUUUUUAUUGAAGUUAGAAGGAAAAAAAUUGAAGAGUUUUCAAAAGGAAGCAGUGAAUGGAGCUACAGAACACUUUGCACCUGGAAACUCUGAAGGCAUCUUGGCUGUUGCAAGAGAGACCAAGUGAAAGGAAAGGGAAGUUGAAUGUGAUGAAAGAAGAAUUAACCAAAAUCCCAGGAGAAUUUCUAGCUGUAGACAGCCUCAGCUAUCCAAGGCCCCAAAAGGGCUGGAAGCUGAGGAAGAUUCUGCAUACAGCCCUCUUGAGCACCAGCCACAUCUAGGAAGUCAGACCAAGAG
ensembl:lncRNA